rnacentral:rRNA from 3 species
UCUGGUAAUGAUGGCAGAGAGGCCACACCCGUUCCCAUACCGAACACGGAAGUUAAGCUCUCUAGCGCCGAUGGUAGUUGGGACCUUGUCCCUGU